CCUACGGGAGGCAGCAGUGGGGAAUAUUGCACAAUGGGGGAAACCCCGAUGUAGCAACGCCGCGUGAGCGAUGAAGGCCUUCGGGUCGUAAAGCUCUGUCCUCAGGGAAGAAUACUGACGGUACCUUAGGAGGAAGCCACGGCUAACUACGUGCCAGCAGCCGCGGUAAUACGUAGGUGGCGAGCGUUGUCCGGAAUUACUGGGUGUAAAGGGUGCGUAGGCGGGUAUAUAAGUCAGAUGUGAAAUACCGGGGAUCAACUCCGGUGCUGCAUUGGAAACUAUAUAGCUUGAGUGCAGGGGAGGAAAGCGGAAUUCCUAGUGUAGCGGUGAACUGCGUAGAGAUUAGGAGGUACACCAGUGGCGAAGGCGGCUUUCUGGACUGGAACUGACGCUGAGGCACGAAAGCGUGGGGAGCGAACAGGAUUAGAUACCCCGGUAGUC
rnacentral:rRNA from 1 species